GGGAGACAGACAGAUACAGAGAGAGAAGAAAGAAGAGAGAGAAAAUAAACCCUUCAAAGGCAUUACUCCUUUGAUUCUCCUUUCCUAAAGCUUCCAUCACCUCCCAAUAGUACUACCAUUGGGGAUCAUGCCAACACAUGAGCUUUUGGGGGACUCCAGGUCUAAAUCUGGAAUGGGUAAUGAGGUAGAGAUUGAUACUAUCAAUAAGGCAUAUUGUUAAAAAAACUGAUUUUAGUCCUGGUAAGUAUGAGGUAUAAGCAACAUAUCAAGUUGGAGAUAUCAUAUAUAGAUUGCAAUUUUGGUGGUGUAGGAAGAAACCAAGAGAAAGAUUCAAGCUAAAGAUACAAUCCAAGGGAAUCAUUAGCAUUUAGGCUACCACUGAAAUCAUGGUUGAGGAGAAUAUCCAGGGAAAGGAGGUUUUCUUCCUGAGCUUAAAAUCUGUCUAUAGUGUCCAAUAGAAAAUAAUCCCCAAUCCCUUUGUAGUCAGGGGCUCUUCUCAUUUUAAUAGAACAAUAUUAGUAGGUUUCUAAAUGACUCUAGAUUAUCAUGUUAUGGUAUGGACCUGGAAAGUCUUCCAAAGUUUCAUGUAUUGAAGGCUUAAUUCUCCAAUGAAGCAAUGUUCAGAAGUGGGGAUUUUGAGAAGUGAUUGAAUCACGAGGGCUCUGACCUCAUCAAUGUACUGAUGUAUUAAGGGAUUCACAUCUGAAUCAAAUAUUGGGAGGGUGUGGAAACUAUAGAAGGCAGAAACUACUUGGAGGGAGUGGGUCCUUGGAGUUAUGCCCUUGGGGACUAUCUUGUCCCUGUCUUUUCUUCCUUCUCUCUCUAUGCUUCUCAGAUGCCAUGGGGUGAAAAGCUCUGCUUCAGAAUAUCUUCUGCCAAGAUACUUUGCUUCAUCACAGUUCCACAGCGACUGAGCCAGGUGACCAUGGACUGAAAUUUCUGAAACUGAUGAAAUUUCAACUACAUCUUUAAAAAGUCCAUUUUAAUAAGGAUAAAAGGAAAAAUGCAUCUUUAAUUACUACCAAAUGAAAGACAUACUGUUAGUUUACUUCCUGUGGAAAAAAUAAUAAAAGCUAUGUGGGUACUAAAUUCAAUGUGUUCCUGAGGAACUUUCCUUAAGAUAGAAAGUGACUGAUACAUACCAUUAUUCAAAGACUAGCAUAUCUACUGGAUAGUUAUUCUGAUACUGUUUUAUAUUCACAGACAAGGUCAUGUAACUCCCAAUCCCAAACAAAUGAUGGAUCAGCCCUAGUAUGAGUAUCCAGUAUCUGGUACCAACAAAUACUGGAAUUCUCUAAAACAUGUUUAAACAAGAAUACUGUUGAGUGAAAUUUUCUUUGCCUUAUUAGAUUCAGAGUAGAGGUGCAAUACCAGAAAGAGAGAAAUUAAUUUUGAAAAACACUGCAUGCAAAGGAAUGACCUUCAGACACACUCAAAUACUGCAAGUUAGUUCACAUAACAGCACAUUUCUGGAUGCCCCUAUUUAUCUUAGUUCUUCUAGCCUGUUUUCAGCUAGGAAUGUCCAUAUGACCAAACCUUUUCCUGCUAUAGUUCUUUUAACCAGAGUACAUGAUCUUGUAACCCUGUGAAGCCCACCCCAGUCUGGCAACCACCAACCCACAGGUAUCCUCUUAUCACUCUCAGCCAUUAGAAAUAGGCAGAGAUGGACAGCCCUAACUGUUGCUUUCUUCUCAAGAAUACCUACUUGUCAUAGGUAUGUUUACUACCUAAUCUCAACUGUACCUACUACAAGGCCUUUUUAGCCUCACUGUCACAGUCCAUUUUUAGUCACAACUGCCAGCUGUACUGGACCAUUUUGUCAAAAGAAAGGAGAAAGAACUCUUAAAUAUUGAGGUAGCUUUCUGGUUGUUAGCUACCUUCUAAUUUUCAAUCACCAGAAAUUGUUUUUCCCUUGGCAAAUCUUUGCUCUAAAUAUUAAACCAAAACAAAACAAACAACAAAAAGGCACUUUAUUGUAAUGAGUUUUUAACCUUGCAGAGUGACCAAGUAUUGAAUAACAUAACUUAUUCUGUAAAAUCUUUUAAAUCAUAUUAAUUAAGUAACUUACAGAAUGCCUAAGGAUUAGUAAUAACAAAAGGGCAACCAGUAGAAUGGAAUAAAAUUAAAUAAUCCUAAAUUAACUCAAUUGUUACCAAAGCAAAUUUUGAAUAAGCAGGGUGUAAAUAAAGUUAAAUUGUUUGACUCAGGAAUUUUAAAGGUUUGUUGAAGAUGGAAGGCCUCCACCUGCAUCAUUGGUCCUGAAGAGUCAAGAAGAUGGGCCAUCUUCAGAUCAAUGGUAUUUGGGACUCAGAAAACACGAGGCUACUGCACUCCAUGGAUAUGAACAGAGGCAUCUACAGAAACCCCUCUCAGGAGGGCAAGAUUUCAGCCUCUACGAGAGGCCCAGGUUGCUGGCUAUCCAGCACCCUCUGGUGGCCAGAUUUGACUCUCAAGAUUUUCUACCGGCUUCGAACUCUCCUCUUUUUUAACACAAUAUAUUUAAAAUCUUUUUUAGAUAAAGAAGAAAUCAUCAAUAGCACUGCUUGGCUAAACUGCUUUUGUGUAAAUUUGGCACCCCAAAAAGUAAGCUAUUAAAAUGCUUCCAAGAGAGAAAA